UCAGAUUUUGAAUUUGAGACUUGGUUAGAGAGAGAACCGAAGCUGAUAGAGAGAGAGUACGAAAUUUAGAGAGAGUCCCGUCUUCCUCCCACCCACCCAUUUUCUUUGUCCACCGGAGUGCCACCUGAGGAAGUAUUGUCUGUUCUGAUGACCGGCGUUGUUCAAAGCUUUGAUUGUAACGACAACCGAAAAAGACGCGUUUUCGCCGUUCCGCAAUUGUAUCAGCAUUCGUGCGUCUUCCUCCUACCCAACCAUUUUCGUGCCUCUUCUCAGAAACGUCGCUUUCCGUUAUCAGAAUUUGCAGUCCGCCGGAGUACCGCCGGUAGUUUAUAGCGUCACUUUUGUGUGUCUCAUUUCUUGUUGUCCAUUUGACUUUUUAGCUUUAGAGUUUAUUAUGUAUAUUUACCCUCUAAUCUCUUACUAAAGAUUUUAUUGUGCAGACCGAGAGGAAAAAAGAGAGGUACAAGCAGGUACUGAUUUGUUCUAAAAACUUAGUAAGAGUUGAACGUUUUUGGUGAAAAUGUUUAUGAUAAUAAUUUGCAUAUUGCUAUGAAAGCAUUUUUUUUCUAUGUUGAUACUCUCUAUUUGAAGGUUACAGGUUGCUAUUGGUAUAAUAUGUUAUUGAUAAAUAUUUCUUCUAGAUAUUUUGCCUGAAAACAUAAUUGGUAAUUAAUCAUGAAUACAAACAUGAUUUAUUGGAUUAUGAAGGUUUCUUGUAUAUGAUAUAAGAUAUAGAAAAGUAAUGCAGUGGUCAUACUGGAUUUAUUAUCGACAAUGUCCAUAAUGAUUUAAUAGAGAUGCAAUGCAUCAAAACUAAUCUGCCAAGUAUGAUGAUAUUAGACAUAGUUAUGUUGUUUCAUGUAGCAUUGGAUUGUUUGCUAUCCUGUAACUGUAAUAAAGUGUGUGUUUAUAGAAUAGAUGUUGGCGGUAGAAAGUGAUUGGAUUAUGACUGACCUUGGCGUUUUUGGGCAGGUAAUGGAAAAUUCUUUUGUGCUGGAACGGAACAUUAGAGUAGUAAAAGCUUGUGAUGGAAAUAAAACUAAAAAUAACGUUGCGUACAUUCUCUACGUGUUUCUAACGGGUACUAAUCUGAUAUAAUCAAGGUUGGUAGCUAUAAGCUAUCUGCAUUGGAAAUUGAAUCAGUUAUCAUAGAGGCAAGUUGCUACCAUUUCCUCAUUAUGGGUUGUUAGGUGUUAUCAACCCCAUGUAUCUUUUUUUUUCCUCCAUGGAAGUGUUGAAUAUAUGGAUAUUCACAAUCAGAACAUUUUUUGUAGCAUCCAGCUAUCUUAGACGAAUUCUAAAGGUCAAAAGAGAAGAUCAUGACCUAUGUAUCAUAUGAUGGCAAAUUAUUCUAAAAAUUGAAAUGCACUUUAUUUAUUUCUUGACUAUUUCUUAUACUAACCAAACAAUUAAAAUGCACCAUCCGUUUUUUCUUGGUGUUUUCUCUGCUGCUAAUUACUUUACUUUUUGAUAAUUUGUUUAUUAUUUUUUUCAAAUUCCAACUAAACUAAUUCUGUGGGAAAAUCUCCCUCCCAAUGCCAUGGGGAAGGUAAUUUCCUUUUGCUUCUAUUUUGUUCUUAUGGACAAAAUUUCCAUUUUUUCACCUUGACAUGCCUUCUGAGAUGGAAAACUAGUUAAUUGUUUCCCUAUUAAAUUUCAGGUAAAUAAAAAGGAGCUGAAGAAGCUGGUGGUUUCAGAACAGUGAAUACCAUUUGAGCUUUAUUCACUAGUCAAAGUUUAAGAUUUUGAAGCCAGUUUUUUAAGAUGGUGAAAAUCUUAAAUAAAAUUUCACCAAUUAUUUAUUGAAAUAGAAACCUUUGUAUUCUCUCAUUUAUUAAGUUCAAUAAGUUUUAGCAUAUUAAGAGGGGUAGAUAAAAGAAAAGAAAAUAAUCAUUAAGCGUAGCAAUUUAGCUUUGUUUAUGAAGGUGAUUGAUUGAAUGUAUUUG
rnacentral:lncRNA from 1 species